rnacentral:rRNA from 1 species
AUUGAACGCUGGCGGCAUGCCUUACACAUGCAAGUCGAACGGCAGCACGGACUUCGGUCUGGUGGCGAGUGGCGAACGGGUGAGUAAUGUAUCGGAACGUGCCCAGUCGUGGGGGAUAACGUAGUGAAAAUUACGCUAAUACCGCAUACGAUCUAUGGAUGAAAGCGGGGGAUCGCAAGACCUCGCGCGAUUGAAGCGGCCGAGAGCAGAUUAGGUAGUUGGUGGGGUAAAGGCCCACCAAGCCAACGAUCUGUAGCUGGUCUGAGAGGACGACCAGCCACACUGGAACUGAGACACGGUCCAGACUCCUACGGGAGGCAGCAGUGGGGAAUUUUGGACAAUGGGCGAAAGCCUGAUCCAGCCAUUCCGCGUGCAGGAUGAAGGCCCUCGGGUUGUAAACUGCUUUUGUACAGAACGAAAAGGUUUCUACUAAUACUAGGAGCUCAUGACGGUACUGUAAGAAUAAGCACCGGCUAACUACGUGCCAGCAGCCGCCGUAA